rnacentral:miRNA from 1 species
GACAGGUCAAUAGAGAGAAGA